CCAGGUCCCCGCAUCAGGAGCGGAAGCCCCACCCCGUGUGAUCGAUAUAGUCGUUGCCCUCGAGGAACCGGCUGGCCUAGCCUAGGUCCCCAAGAGGCGCUCACUCUGGUAUACGAGGUCGUCAGAGUCGUAGAAAUACUAA
rnacentral:misc_RNA from 1 species